UUCAACAAUAGUCCAAACGUUUCCCCAUGCCAUGUAUGCGAUCAACUUGGAUCUCAGGUUAGUAAUAUCCAAAUUGUCUUUCUAAUUAUUCCUCCCGAGUGGUCUCAUGAUCCUGCACGGUCUCUGGCUUUGCUUUUUGUGUGAAUAAUGUUGUGGUUUGAUUGAUCAUUUUGAUAUUACAAUGGAUACAUGCAAGGAUUUUGUUAGUGAAGCUGAAUCCUUCAGUAAAUUACAACAACACCAGCUAGAUGCCUAGAUGGACACAGGUUCUUAUAUAAUCUUCAACGACAAUGCUCGUCUUGAACUUUUUCUACCAACAUCUCCAGAAACUGACCGUACAAUCUAGAGGAAGCCCACAACAAAAGUCUCGCCG
rnacentral:lncRNA from 1 species